GCUAAUUUGGAGGGAGCAUUUAUUUUUUGCACAACCACAACAUGCGCACAAAUCCAGAAAAAGAUGUGGAGUCUGAAAUUUUCAACAUCUCACCACCAGAGCAGUUGGUCACAACGUUUCAUACAAAGUUACAUAUACUGUAAUAGAUGUUGACAAAAUUUCUACAGAAUCAUCUUUAUAGACAACAAGAAAGCUCUAAGAGGCAAACAUUGCAAUCUAUUCUUCUUCUGAUGAGUCUCUCUCAAACGUGUAGGCCAUGAAGCAAGCAUCUGGUCUCUUGGGGACAAGGGGAUGCCCUGGUCUCACAAUCUCAAAGCCCAAAAAGCUGAAAGUACGGAGCAAUGCAGCUCUAUCAUCUCUGUUCUUGUGGAAACAAAUGAACACAUGAUCAACUUGAAGCUGUUCUUCAGCAAACUCCAGAAGAACUGCAAAACUGUCCUUGCUCCCUUCAGGCAGAGCACCACUGGGUAUUUCAAUAUAGAGGUUGUUGUUGUUCAGCACUGCUCUCCAACUAAUGUGUUUGGCAUCUGUAAGCCUUGACUGGACAUUCAGAAUUCUUGUCCUGUUAUUAGAUGUUAGUUCUUCUGUCACAUUCAGCCGAUUAUCCGAAUAAAAUAAAUUAGCUGAAAGAUUGUGAUCCCUCUGACUAUUCCCUCGCCCACCUGGGAUCUUCAGGGGUGGGUGAGGGACAUCAGGAGCACCACCGAGGCCCCGGACCCAGGUUACUACAGCAAUUGAAGGGAACCCUGGAACUGCUCUGUCCGGUACUGAGGCUCAGCACGGCGGGCAUGAUGGUGCUUUUAUUCCCCUCUUUCUCUCUAGCGAAGCAGUGACUGUUGAGUAUCCGCUGCAGGGAGGAUUUCACCAUCCGGCCGCUCUGGUCCGAACCCCGAAACCCUCCGCCGCCCCCCGCCGGCCGCUCUCCAGGCACUGCU
rnacentral:lncRNA from 1 species